GACGAACCGUCCGAACGUUAUUCGGAAUCACUGGGCUUAAAGGGUGCGUAGGCGGCGCGGAAAGUUGGGUGUGAAAUCCCUCGGCUUAACCGAGGAACUGCGCCCAAAACUACCGUGCUUGAGGGAGAUAGAGGUGAGCGGAACUUAGGGUGGAGCGGUGAAAUGCGUUGAUAUCCUAAGGAACACCGGUGGCGAAAGCGACCCACUGGAUCUCUACUGACGCUGAGGCGCGAAAGCUAGGGGAGCAAACGGG
rnacentral:rRNA from 1 species